rnacentral:rRNA from 1 species
AUUGAACGCUGGCGGCAUGCUUUACACAUGCAAGUCGAACGGUAGAGGGGGCAACCCCUUGAGAGUGGCGAACGGGUGAGUAAUGCAUCGGAACGUGCCCAGUCGUGGGGGAUAACGCAGCGAAAGCUGUGCUAAUACCGCAUACGAUCUCUGGAUGAAAGCGGGGGACCGAAAGGCCCCGCGCGAUUGGAGCGGCCGAUGUCAGAUUAGGUAGUUGGUGAGGUAAAGGCUCACCAAGCCUGCGAUCUGUAGCUGGUCUGAGAGGACGACCAGCCACACUGGGACUGAGACACGGCCCAGACUCCUACGGGAGGCAGCAGUGGGGAAUUUUGGACAAUGGGCGCAUGCCUGAUCCAGCCAUUCCGCGUGCAGGACGAAGGCCUUCGGGUUGUAAACUGCUUUUGUACGGAACGAAAAGCCUUGGGCUAAUACCCCGAGGUCAUGACGGUACCGUAAGAAUAAGCACCGGCUAACUACGUGCCAGCCGCCGCCGUAA